rnacentral:lncRNA from 1 species
AUCGAAAUUCAGACUUAUACCGACAUUCAAAAGUUACCAUAUUCACAUGGCUUAUAUACAACAACAUCUUCAAAAUAUCAUCCACAUAAGUCUAGUCUAUACAUGCCAUACAAAUUCCAAAACAUAAUAGUACCAAAACGAUAGAUAGUGUGACGAGUUGCUGACGAUCCCCGAGCAAGUGGCUGGAGUCAACGAUCUAAAAACAGAGAAACAUAACAAACGGAGUAAGCUUCCACAAGUAUAGUAAGUUUUAAGCAAUACAAAUAAUUAAAUUAAAUUAUAAAUCGAUCAAUCAAAUUCUCAAGUGACAUUUCUUAGGUAUAUUGCCAUUUGGCCGAAUAUAUAUACAAACAUUUAAUGUAUAUUUAGCAUAUUAACUUCACUUGAAUCUGAAUUCAUAUAACAUAAGUAAAUCAAAUAUUUUCACAUAACUUCACAUUUUGGUCGAAUGUAUCAGGAUCAUAUACAUAUAGUCUUAAUACUUAUUCACAUAUACAUCAUAUUACAUACUUGGGAUUCAAUCCCCAAUAAAGCUCAUAUAAGUACAAGAUACAUACCUGGCCAACUUAAGGUAUUACACGAUUUCAAUUGUCGUUUUGUCAUGAAAUCUCAAAAUUUUAGAUUUAUAUCAAAUAACCGGCAAUUAGCCUGCUAGGUUUAAAACCCGAAUUCAUCACCGGCACAAAGCCUCUAGACUUUAAGUCUGAACUCAUUCACCGACAUUACGCCUGCUAGGCUCGAAGCACGAUAUUAAUUCACCAGCAUUAUAGCCUGCUAGGCUCGAAGCCUGAUAUUAACUCACCGGUAUUAUAGCCUGCUAGGCUCGAAGGCUCGAAUAGUACCGUACGAUAAUCAAAUCAACAAGUUUCAUAUAACAUAAUCAUAUCAAUUAGGUACUAGCAUCAUGUGAACAUAUAUAAUUAUACAUCUCAAACACUUUUCUCUCAUCUCAUUUUCACACUUAGCAUUCGAUAGCUUAUGCAUAACAUUUCGCUCACAUUCAUUUCAAACUUAUCAUUCGAUUAUAAAAGCACAUUGCAUAUUUAUCAACAUGUUAUACUUGCCAUUAGGCCAUAUAAGCAUGAUACAAUACACCAUCAUUUCAUCUUUAACAUUCGGCUAAAUCCAUACCUUACAAGGAGUACCUAAUUCACAUAAUAUAUCAGAUUAUAAUCAAUUGUUAUUUACGUUUGAUUACUUAAAACUUACCUCAGAUGUUAUCGAACGAUUACAACGGCUAUUCGAUUACUUUCUCCUUUCCCCUAUCCAACUUUGGUCCUCUAAGUUCUUGAGCUAAAUCAAACAAAUUUACUUCUCAAUCAAACACAUACAUACGGCAACCAUAUACAUUUCAAAAACCAAUUCAUUCGUAUCAUUUGUCCACUUAAGUCUAUCACCAUUUCAUUUUCAAAUUUAUGUACUUUGUAAGUCACAUUCGAACACAUUCGGUACUAUGCAUCUUUUCAAAUAUUUCUUUUAACAUUAAACUCAACUUAUAACUUUCUUCUAAUUAAAAACAUUCAACACCAACUAGUCAUGCUUACAUGUCAUAGCCGAAUAUCAUUUUAGACAUUUGAGAAAUCAUUUCUCAACUCAACUUAUAAUUGUGAAUCUCAUUCAAAACAUCCACACCAAUUUAUUAUACAAUUAACCAUAGCCAAAUACUAAAUCAAAUAGAUAUUUGUUCACAUUUCCAUAACACAUAUUUAUCAACUAGUCCAUAUAUUAGCUUUUAGUCAUUAGAGUGACCUAUUUAACUUUCAAGCAUUCAUUUCUAAUUUUAAUUAAACGAUGCCGAAUGCCAUUAACUACUAAUGCCACACACACAUAUGCAUAAAAUUCAUCCAUACAUAACCUAUAGCUCAUUCGGCCAUUCAUCACUCAAACCAAUCAAAGCUUCAUAUCAAACUUCCUUGGCCGAGUACACAUAUAAGCACAUAAUGCACAUAUAUGCUCAUUUGUCUAGCUCAACUUCACCUAUCUACCAUUACUCAUAAAAAGAACAUGAAACAACCAUUUCCUUCAAUUCAAUUUAUGACCGAAUGCUCACAACACAAUAAUUUUCAAAAUUUAAACAUGGGUUAACUAAGCAAUGCUUUGACCAUGCUAAUUUCGCAAGAAUAUCAAGAAAAUACAUGGAACAUACCUUUGAAUCAUGCUAAGUAAAUGACAGAAUGUGCUUGAGCAUUUUCCUCUAUUUUUCUCUUAAUUUCGGCUAUGAAGAACAAAGAUGAACAAGUUUUGUCCUUUUCCUCAUUUUGUUAUUUUAUUUAUCUUUAUUUUAUAAUAUAAAGCCAUUAAAUAUUUUAAUGCUAAUUUAAAAUGCAUAUAUUGUUUAUCAUUAUCAUUAUGGCCAGCCACUACAAAUUAAAGUGGAAAAUUUGACAUGCAAAUCCACUUAUUUUAAACCAUAAAAUAUUUGGCCACUACAAAUUAACCUAUCACAUUUUCAAAAUUUCUCACAUAAGUCCUAUUUAAUAAUUUCACAUACAAAUGACAAAAUCAAAGUAUGAAAUUUUCAUACAUACACUUUCACAUAUAAUAAGCAUAGAAUAUAACAUUUAAUUAUUUUUUUGUGAUUCGGUUUUGUGAUCCCGAAACCACUUUUUGACUAGGAUCAAAUUAGGGCUGUCACAUCAUUGCCCUCUUCUUAUGUCAUUGGAUAAGAAAAAUAAAACGGCUCACAUAUCCUCGUUUCGGUUUGAAGCAUCAUGGUUAUUAGAAGACUCCUUUAAGAAGAUGAUUAUAGAGUCUUGGUAGAAUUUAACAGGGCUAUUAACAGAUAAGUUGGAGGGGUUAAAACAGAGAAUUCUUCUAUGGGCAAACCAAAUAAAUAAUGCAAGAAGAGGUAUCAAGUAGAAUAUAAAAAACAAUGGGAAUGCUUGCUGGAUGAGGAUAUAAGUGAAGAAAACUUGGCUAAAAUCAUUGAUACGAAAAUUUCUCUCAAUCUAGAAAUUGACAAAGAUAAAGCUUACUGGAAGCAAAGUGCACGUGUUAAUUGGCGGAGAUUAGGAGAUAGAAACACAACAUUCUUUCACAAAUGGGCCACACAACGACAUAAAACUAAUGAUAUUCGUAGUUUGCAAGAUCAUAAUGGGGGGAACAUGGAUGAUGAAGAUGGGAUACAAGGAUUAUAAAGAAUUAUUUUUAGGAUUUGUUUGCGUCUUUAGGAAUAAGUUAUACGGAGAUGAGUUUAUAGGGAGUGCAGAGAUGUAUAACUGAAGAUAUGAAUGCACAACUUACAGUAGAAUAUACGGCUGAAGAAAUAUGGGCAGCAUUAAAGGGAAUAGGUCCUACAAAAGCCCUCGGUACCGAUGGACUUCCAGUAAUUUUCUUUCAAAAAUGUUGGAACAUAGUUGGGACAGAGGUAACCUCUUUUUGUUUGGAGAUUUUAAAUCAGAGGAAAGAUUUAGAGAGUAUUAAUGGUACGAAUAUUGUUUUAAUUCCUAAAACCUCACAGCCCAUUGAUAUGAAGAACUUUAGGCCUAUUGGCCUGUGCAAUGUCCUCUACAAGAUAAUAGCUAAAGUAGUGGCUAAUAGAUUUUAAAAUGUCCUAAAAGUUUACAUUGAUAAAGCUCAAAGUGCAUUCGUUCCAGGCUGACUUAUUACGGAUAAUGUGCUUGUGGCUUAUGAGAUCAUGCAUACGUUGAAGAAUAAAAGAGUAGGGAAAAAAAGGGCAUGUGGCACUUAAACUGGCCAUGAGCAAAGCCUAUGAUAGGGUCGAAUGGGAAUUUCUUAGGGUUAUGAUGGAGAGAAUGGGUUUUGCACAAUCUUGGGUGGCUUUCAUAAUGAAGUGUAUUUCGACGGUCUCCUAUUCAGUUCUUUUAAAUAGGAAAAAGGGAGAAGUUUUCAAACCAAUAAGAGGACUCCGACAAGGGUACCCCCUCAGUCCCUAUUUAUUUCUAAUUUACAGUGAAGGCAUGUCCUCAAUUAUACACCCAGCUCUAAUAAGAAAGGAAAUCAAAGGAUUGAAAGCUAGCAGACGAGGACCUAAGAUCUCACACAUUCUCUUUGCAGACGACUGCAUCAUUUUUGGUGAGGCAAUAUUUUUAGGAGCUUGAUAGAUCAAGAAUAUUUUUGCAGAAUAUGAAUCCUACUCAGAUUAGUGUGUGAACUUUGCAAAGUCUAUAAUAUUCUUUAGCACGAAUACUACAGAAACAAAUAAAUUGAUAGUUACGGGCUUGCUAGGCAUGAGGAGAUCAACUGAUAUUGAGAAAUACCUAAGUCUCCCUAAUUUGAUAGGGAAGAAAAAGAAAACUUCUUUCCAAAAUUUAAAGGAUAGGAUGAAAAGAAAAAUUGAUGGAUAGAGUUCUAGGUUCUUGUUACAAAGUGGAAAAGAGGUUUUUAUUAAAUUAGUUUUGCAAGUGAUUCCAACUUAUUCUAUGAUGUGUUUUCUUUUGCCAAAAACUUUAUGUGAGGAAAUGGAAUCAAUUAUUGCAAGGUACUGGUGGCAGAAGGGUCAUGGACGAAAAGGAAUACAUUGGUGCAGUUGGAAGAAUAUUUGUGAAUUAAAAUAUGAAGGAGGAUUGAGUUUCCAGGAUUUGGCCAAGUUUAACGUGGCUCUACUUGCUAAGCAAGGUUGGCGGUUAGUUGAGCAUCCAGAUUCUUUAGUAGCACAGGUUUUAAAAGCAAAGUACUACCCGACCACUAAUUUUCUACAAGUAGGGCUAGGAUGUAGACCUUUAUACAUGUGGAAAAGUAUUUGGGCAGCAAAAGGUCUUAUUAAAGAAGGUUUGGGGUGGAGAGUUGGCACUAGGGAAAAAUCUUAAUUAAUGAGGAUGCGUGGCUCCUUCGGGCAGCUAAUUACAGAAUUUGUUAUCCUAUUCUUAAUACUGAUAUUACUACUGUCAUAUCAUUAAUUGUUUGUAAUAAUAGGAGGUGGAAGGAAGAACUGAUUCGCAAUACCUUUAAGGCAAACAAUUCAGACAGAAUCUUAUGAAUCCCACUAGCGUUAGACGAGCAUACUGAUAUGGUCAUCUGGUGUGCAGAGCGCUCGGGUAAGUUCACAAUUUGUAGUGCUUAUAGACUAUUACAGACCUAAGAUCAUACAUCAGACUCUACUGCUACACAAAAUACAACCAAACUAUUUUACAAACAACUCUGAACACUCCAAAUACCAAAUAAAAUUAAAAUUAUGCUAUGGAGGAUAACACGAAACUAUUCCCAUGAUGGGCAACUUGUUUCAGUGAAGAGUGGUCCGAGAUUAUAAGUGCCCUAGAUAUAAAGCUUGCUCUGAGAAUCUAUGGUCUACAUUCGUUGGGUGUCUUAUAGCAAUAGAGUUAUGGAGAAGAUUAGAUUUUGAAUGGAUAAAUCAAGGUGAACCCAGUGGAUGGUUUGAUUGGAUUACAUGGAUUUUUAGUAAAUAUGGAGAAACCCAGCAUCGCGUUUUUGUCUGUGGAAUGUGGGUACUAUGGCUUGACAGAAACAGAAAUUUACAUGAAGAGAAGUCAUAUAAAGGGGAAGAUGCAACAAAUCAUGUUAAAUAUUAUAUUGGCGAAAUUGAUGGAUUGAAUGGGAGACAACCUAAAAUUACCCAGGAAGUUGAAAACUGGAAAGCCUCUGAGAAAUAAAAAAUCAAAAUCAAUUUUGAUGCCUCGUUUGAUAGUAAAAAUAACAUAUCAGCAUCUGGGAUAGUGGCGAGAACUGAAAAUUGUAACAUCCCGAAUUAGGGCCUAGUCGGAACAGUGGUUUUGAAACCACAAAUCUAAAGUAGAAAUAAUUAUUUUAUGAUUAUUAUAAGGUCUAUGAUAUGUUUACAUUCUUGUGUGAAAAUUUCAUGAAGAAAUUUUGUCUAAGGUGCUCAAUUAGACUUUAAGGACUAAAUUGAAUAAAUUGUAAAAUAUGAGUUCUAGAAGUUUUCAGUAUGAAAUUGAAUUGGAGUUUUAAUUAGAGGGUCUUAAAUAGCAAUUUGACUCAGUUCUAAAAUUUUGGACAAAAAUGGACUUGAAUAGAUAAAAUUUUAAAGAAAGGCUAAAAGGGCAUUUUGGUCAUUUGGUCAUUAAAUGGACUAAUGUCUAAAUAAAUAUGGGAAUGUGUUGAAUUGGAUGUACAUUGUAUGGUUAGCUAUGCAUAUUGAGAUACUUGAUGAAAAUAGAAAAUCCUGGUUGAAUAAAAAGGGGAAUCCGAUGGAUAAACCAUGGCUUACAUGACUUGAGAUCCUGCAUGUAUUGCAGAAAAGGAUUUAGCCCGGACGGGUAAUCCGUUGAUCUCAAAUAUAGAAAAUGAUCUAGCCUGGACGGGUGUUCCUUGAGUGAUCGAGCCUCCCGAAGAAUAUGUGUGCAUUAAGAAUUUAGCCUGGACGGGUAAUCUGAUUAGGAUCUGAAUUUAGCCUGGACUGGUAAUUCAGAUCCGAUCUCAUUUGGGUAUAUGUCGUUGUAGGGUAUUUAGCCUGGACUGGUAAUCUCGACAAUACUCUAUGAGUUUAUAUUACUGGGGAUUUAGCCUGGAUUGGUAAUCUCGCCGUAAGAUGUAAGGUUUGCGGGAGUGCGUAUUUGAAAUGAUCACUUGUAUGACUUGACGGUAAAUGGAUUAUCCAUCGAGAUUUUUGAGAAAUUCAACGGGUAUUAUAAUGAAUAAUGCGAUGAAAGUCCCGAGAUGGGCAUGGUGAUAAAGGUAAAGUUAAUUGAUAUGCUACGGAUAUGUACAGGUACGUACAUUAUACUCAUAAGUGAUGCCUUAUUGAAAUGUGAUAAAUGAUGAGUAAGCAAAUUCAUGCAUAUGUAUGCGUAUACAUGAUAAACAAGUAAAAAGGUUUGAAAGAUGAACCAUCCUUAUGCUUAUGAUUAUGGAUUGUGUUGUAAUAUCAUGUUAAUUUACAUUGUGUAAUGAGAUAUGGGUUUCAUGAAAUGAUGAGUUCAUGAUCAAUAAGCUUAUAAUAGUUACUAUGAAUUUGCACUGAAACAGUUUUGGACAGCAAUAAUAGUCCAACUUUGAAAAUCCACCAAAAAUAAUGGAAAUUGAGUUAGAGACUGAAUCAAAUAUGAAAUUAAAGCUUAUUGGGUCUAGUUUCAGUUAAAAGGAAUGGUGCUAGUAAAGGAAUCUCAUAUGAUGAGAUAUUUGAAUUCUUGUGAGACAGUGUCAGAAUGAGUUCGAAAUCCCCUGUUUUGACUUGGGAAAAUUACUAGAAAUUGUACAAAAAUAAUUAUGAGUUAGAAUCAUAUUAAUGAAAUCCUUAAUGAGUAUAAUUUCAGUAUAAAGAUACGGAAACAUUAUCCGAGUCUCGUACUAUGCGAUAAAUAAAUUUUAGUGAAGAAAGGUAGAAGCUGUCAAACAGUGAAACAUGAGAGAAUUUGAAUAAUAAACUGUACUUAUUGGCUAGACAAAAAAUUCUGGAAAUUUUAUUGUAAGGAGAUAAAUGAGUCUAGUUUCAGAAAAAAUUAAUGAAUCUUAAUUUGGAGUUCUGUAACUCUAGAUAUAAAUAAAUUAAUAACUACGACUCGAGAAAACAGCUUAACCAGAAUAUGAGUAAAAGUGUCAUUAUGGUUGAUUGCCUAAGGAAACAUGUUGUUAUAAUGCUUAUUAUUUUCAUAUGGACUUACUAAGCUUUAGGCUUACUCCCUCCUUUCCAUUUCCUUAGUGUUCUCAGGUUAGCUUGGGGUUGGAGAUCGUCGGAGGCAGCAUCAAACUAUCAAGUUAUCAACUCUAGAGUAUUGUCAUACGUGUAUUAAACACUUUCAAGUGAGUGGCAUGUAUAAGGAUUAGGUUUUACAUUAGAUGUUGUUAUGAUUAGCCAAAUGUACCAGCUUAUAUUGAUCUAUUGUAUAUAGCCAUGAGAUGUGGCUUAUUAUGGUUAUGGCUUGUAAGUCUAAUUAUUCGUGCUAUGGGUUAAUGCAUGUCGUGUGAUUAUAAUUGGUUGCUAUGAAUAAUUAGUAUAACACAUGUAUAUGAUGAAUGUCCUAGAACCAUUCGAGGUGAUCACGGCCAUGGAAUGAAUAUAUGGCCUGGUAGUUAGUUGAAAAUGAUUAAACAUGGACAAUUGUAGAAUGUGUAGAGAUUAAAUGCUGGGUAAUAAACACAUGUAAGACAAUAUGCAAUUUAUUUAUUUGAAUCUUUCUCAAGGUCGAUUAACAAUUAAAUUGAUGCUAUAAGUUAGGUCCAUGAUGUGUAAAGUAUGGGAAAGAAUUAAGGACAACAUAAGGCUUCGAAAAUAGCCUAAGUGUUGGCCAUACGGGCAGAGAACGGCCAUGUUUCUCAGCCAUGUGGAGGACAUGGUCUAGCACACGGGCGUAUGGCUUGACCGUGUGGAUCAAUUUGUUUGGCUAACAUUAUAAAUAGAGAGUUACACUGGCCGAGGAUAUGAGCGUAUUCCAAGCCACACAGGCGUGUGUGACCACACGGCCCAACCCACACGGGCAUGUGACUCUCCAAAGCAAGAAAAUUGGUUAAGUUGUCAAAAGUUUGUCGAAAGUUCUCAGUUCAGUCCGAACCACCCCAAUGCAUGUUACAGGCUUCGAAGGCCUAUUUAAGGGACGAUAUGCAUGUGUUUAAGAUGUUUUAAUUUUGGGCAAAAAUUUUGUGACCUGAUUUUGCAUGUUGUGAAUGUUUAAGUCUGGUAACGCCUCGAACCCUGUCUCGGCAUUGAAUACGGGUAAGGAGUGUUACAAAAAUGAGGAGGUUGAAAUUUCUAAAUGUUACCUUCAUAUAACGGUAGGCACGGCCUUUGACGCAGAAGCGAUUGCCUGCUACGAAGCUGCUCUCACAAGAUUAAAGAUAGGAUACACAAAGGUUGUUAUUGAGAACGACUCCAAGUCCAUCAUCAACAAAUGCAUGACACAAUCGGUGGACAAAUCACAAGUUAGUGCGCAUAUUCGAAAUAUUCGAAGAGAAAAAAGUAAGUUCUAGACCAUUACAUUUCAUUAUGUUCCAAGAUCGGCUAAUCACUUAGCCAACACCAUUGCUACAACAAGUUUGAAGGAAAUGGAGACGAUUUACCUGCUUGGAGAGGUCCCUUGCUACACCAAUAGACAGUGGGAACUGGAUCACCCACGGGAACCUAAUUGAAACGAAGAAGAGGAAAACAGGGAAUGGGGUAUUUGAGAGCGACCCUAAUCAAAACUGUCAGGCCUCAUCUCCAAUGAAAAUGAAAAGUUAUCCGUGUAAAAGGCAAAGUUGGAGACAGGUCAUUCAAAAUGGAUGAGGAUUUUAAGUUUAUUUAUUGUUUUAAUUAGUUUUGGUCUUUUUGCUUCUACUUUUAGCCGUCGCUUUGUUUCUUUUUAGUCUGAUGAUUAGACUAGUGCUUUUC